rnacentral:tRNA from 1 species
UCCCUGGUGGCUCAGAUGGUAAAGCAUCUGCCUGCAAUGUGGGAGACCCGGGUUCGAUCCCUGGGUCGGGAA